GGAGACUCUAAGACUUCUGAAGAGUUUCUUGCUUCUUUCCUGUGGGGCAGUGACUCCACUUCCCAGCAGUAAUGGAAUAUCCUGAAUUAGCUACAUUAAUGUUAGAACCAUUUGGACCUCACCCAGGACUUCAACUACAUUAUGGAUGUUAUAAGAAAUGAGACUCACUACUGAAUUCACAGCAGGCAUGGUUGAAGGCACCAUUCACUAUAGCUUGCAGUGUUCCCUUUAUGAGAUUUGUAUGAGAAAUUCCUCUCAUAGGUCAAGUUCUUGGGAGAAAAUUCUCCCAAAGAGCAAGUCCCAGGAAAAUCUUGGCUGCUAAAGUUACAGAACCCAAAUUUGGCAACUGUCUGCAUCUGAACAACAGAAGUUUCAACAUUCUGCCAACAGAGUAACUCCUGGACGAUUGGCACAGAAGAAGGCACAAGGCAAAUACCCAUCUCUGUACACCCUGUGCUACUGUGUCAUGUGCUGCUCCAGGCAACUCCAAUGGAUUGGCCACCCUGGCCAAUGUGUUCUAGUAUGUUACGUUUAUGUUCCCCUGCUUUCUACAAUCCUGUUCAAAGAGUUGCUGACUUAACCACAGAGAGGAUUCCAGAACCUGAGACACAGAAUAAACUUGAGCAAUCAUAGUCCAUCCACUUCAUUGUCUCAUCAAAAACCAAAGGUCCAGUGAAGCUCUGGAACUCAACGCUGUAAAGGAGCGAAGGAGCUUCUAUACAGAGCCUGGAUGCCUGUCUCCUUAUCCUACUUCAGUGGACUUGACUG
rnacentral:lncRNA from 10 species